GAUUGAAAAGGCUGGAAGCACUUGCAGAGCUUGCUUCCUGAGGUAUUUCUUGUGAUAAGACGCUUAACUGAUUUAUGGAGGUGGCAAAUGAUGGGUGCUACUAUGUGACAAUCAACAUCACUUUGACAUUUGAAAGCACCUGUAAGAGACUAUUCUUUUGUAUCAUUGACUCAAAGUUUGCUGGUAACGGGACUGCUGCUGGAUCCUGGUGGUGACUAUUAUUUGUAAUAAACUGGUCG
rnacentral:lncRNA from 1 species